CGCGGGCGGCCCGGCCGGCGACGGCGGCGGCCCCGGCGCGGCCGUCGAGGCCGGGUCACUGUCCGGCGCCGGCGCC
rnacentral:tRNA from 1 species